CACUCAUGACUCUUACAAAGUCAUUCUUUAAAUCGGCAGGCUGUAGAGUGACUCUAAUCGGCAGUAAUUGGAAACACUGCUGCUUGGCUUAGUUGUCAUAUGCUAUUCGAAUUAAGUCUUGUCUGCAAAUACCAAUUGAAGUGAGAACAAUGAAAAGGUAUACAAGGCUUCCACUUACACUGUACAGAAUCCAACCCAAACUGCCAGUGGCUUUACGCGACUACGACAGUCAAAUUGCUAAGGCAAGAACAUCGUUCGACUUGAAAUUGGAUGAAAAAGGAUUUGUACAACCAGUAGCGGAGGGAACACUCUUCACCACGCCGAAUGGAAUGUCCUUACGUCCUGCCAGUGAUACUAUGAUUCAAAUCCUCAAGUCUUUUAGAGGAACGCCAAUGAUUUAUCAUUUCGCCUGCGGUAUGGAACUGCCAAAAUUGUUUGUUGUGUAUCAUGAACACACAGAUCAUUAUUCCUUACAAACAACCGAACCUAUCACGCUCCAAGAAUUCAAUGCUCGACUAACCGAACUUCUUCGAUGCCUCCCAGUGCAGACGAAACAGCAAUUUCUUGAUCAAAUGGACGACAUUAAUGAUCAAGACAAUUAGUCUUUGUGUAACUCUAACAAUUGUCUAAUAGCAGAGUGAUUUUGGAUGAAAAAAGACCAAUUGUUUGUUCCUGCGUGCGUGUGUGUGUCCGAAAAAGUAUUGUAGAUAUUAUUGCACUGGUUACAUCGACAAAUUAACCGAAGUAAAUUACGUUUGCCAUCAUU